rnacentral:tRNA from 1 species
GAGGGUAUAGCUCAGUGGUAGAGUGCGUGCUUAGCAUGCAUGAGGUCCUGGGUUUAAUCCCCAGCACCUGUA